AUCAGCAAGAUCCUUCUCAAGAGGUUCUAUCUUUUUCUUUCUCUUCUUCUUUUCUCCUUUCAUCUAUUUCUCUUAUUCUUCAAUCUUCUCUUAAUUUUCUUUUAAAAGAAAAUGUCUAAAUCUUUUUUUUUUCUUAGAGCCGUACUACUUUUUUAAUUUUUUUCCUCUUUUUUUUAUUACGAAAAUUAAUUUAAAAUUUAUUAAAAUCUUUAAAAAAAUAUUUUAAAAAAUCUAAAAAUUAAUCUAAAAUUUUUAGAAAAUUCUAAAUUUGGUUUUAAAUUGAUUUUGGGCUCAUCACUUGGAAGAUAGAUUAUGGUUUUCUUAAUCUGUCCUGCAUCAGUUUUGGUAUCAGAGCAAAAUUGAUCAAUAAAUUAAUUUUCAUAAUGCCGACAAACGCAAUACUUUGUUCAAUGCUUGAAGAAUUUAAAUUUUCUACCAACACUCGUUUUGAAAAGUUAGAAACUAAUUUGCAAUCAACUAACCAACAAUUAGCGAAAAUCAAACAACUCCUUGAAAACCUAAUUCAUUCUAAACCUCCACCGCUCACGAGCUCGUCUAUAACAUCUGCAACUUUCGUCCCACCUUUGUCCCACCAGAACAUCAUUUCUAUUUCUUUUAUCUCUUCUUUCCAAACUGUUCUGAGAUUUGAUGGUGUUCAUUCUCGAGUGCAAAUUAAUCAGCAAUUUUCUCGUAAUCUUAUUUCAAGAAAAUUGGUAGAAAAAUUAAAUUUUAUGCCCUGCCGUUGUUCUUCUCCUUAUCUUAUUUCUUAUGGUGGCACUAUUAUCAAAUCUAACUAUAUUAAAUCCGGCAUACUCACAAUGCAAGAUGAAUACCAACAGGAAAUUGUAUUCGUCAUGGUUGAUAUUGAGGGAUGUGAGAUAGUACUUGGACAACACUGGCAUGAAUCAAAAAAUGCUUUUCAAGCCACAGAGGAAAAUUAGUAUAUCUUUCAUGAUAAUGGCAUUCAAUAUGCUAUUUUUCCAAACGUAAAGAAGCCGAAGCCGAUGUAGCUACAUCCAAUCAUGUCCGACUCUUCACCACCUUCAUCGACUCCACAAACUUUGGAGCCAUCUAGGCAGAUUACGGAGCUGCCUGUUAUUUCACCUUCGUUACCACCACCGAAGACUCCUUUUCUACUACAAGUUGAGUUUCAAACUGCAGUCGUGGCUGAGAUGGUGCUGACAAGGAUUAUUCGACAUUCAGGUGUCGGACUACAUCAUCAUAUCUGUGUUAUGGUUUGGUGCUAUUAACUUCUUCUUCUAAAUAUAUUGAUCUCGAGGACGAGAUCCUGCGCAGCGGAAGCGAAUGAUGCAAAAUUGAGGGCGGAUAGGAUUGAUUCGUUUAGGUUUUCAACUUUUUCCUAAUUUUCGGAAUUAUUUUACUUAUUAAUUUGUUUUAGUCGAUUUUGUGAAGAUUUUUAGGAUUUAUCAUAUGAAAUAAAUCCCUAAAAAUUAGGGAUAUGGUUUAGAUUUUUUAUAUAUAUACUCGAAUUAGGAAAAAGCCCUAAAAUCUUGGGAUUUGAAUUAGAUUAGGAUUACGGUUGGAAGGUUAUAAAUAUAGCCUAUAAUUUGUAAUUUGGGAACGAGUUAUGAUAGAAUAGAAUUUGGGUUUGUGUUUUGAUUGCAGUCAUGGUAUCUUCGUCCUCUCUCCUUCUCUGCUGUGUGUAUCAGCAAGAUCCUUCUCAAGAGGUUCUAUCUUUCUCUUUCUCUUCUUCUUUUCUCCUUUCAUCUAUUUCUCUCUUAUUCUUCAAUCUUUUCUUAAUUUUUUUUUUAAAAAAAUGUCGAAAUCUUUUUUUUUUCUUAGAGUCGUAUUACUUUUUUAAUUUUUUCCUCUUUAUUUUUAAUUACGAAAAUUAAUUUAAAAUUUAUUAAAAUCUUUAAAAAAAAUAAAAAAAUCUAAAAAUUAAUCUAAAAUUUUAAAAAAAUUCUAAAUUUGGUUUUAAAUUG
rnacentral:lncRNA from 1 species